rnacentral:tRNA from 1 species
GAGCCGGUAGCUCAGCCGGUAGAGCAGCGGACUUUUAAUCCGCUGGUCGUGGGUUCGAUCCCCACCCGGCUCAC